GGCCUUGUUUGGUUCAGCUGACUAGGCAUGAUUGACAAUAUAAUCAACCAUUUACACGCGUUUGGUUCGUGUGUCAGGAACCCGUGAUUGAUCCUCGGCCCGGCUAUGUAUCCCUCAUUUGCGUGAUAAGCCAUCCGGUGAGGGGAGGUGGGUUUAUGUAAUCUGACUUUCAGCUGAUUGUGGAAGGAGUGUGAAAUUACUUGGACACCCUCACACUGAGUCCAUUAUUUCACUCGUACCCACUAUAAAAGGUCAUAUUCUCUCUCCCAAAUUGAUUUUCACCAGCCUUGGCUCCUGCAACUGGUUCAUCACGAUUUUCCCCUUUCACAUCUCAUCUCUCAAAUCUCGGUUACGUUCUAAUUUUGCUUCUCAAUCUAAGUAUAACUCGAUCUUAAACAUGGGUGAAGUGGAAAAUCAGAUUUGGAAGACAAUCGGAUUUGGAAGACAAUCGAAGAGUAGAAAUUCCCAAAUCGAUUUCUGGACGUCUUCCGAUGGACUUGUCGUCGGAUCUUGCAGCGUCUAGACAUUCAUAUGCUUCAACUCUUCGAGGUUUGUAACUUAUACCCUUGGUUCAUAAUUUCUUGUUUUCUUCCUGUAACCCUAGGUUUUGUUAUUUCCAUUGAAGAAUAGGAACCUUGCAAACACGAACCCCUAUUUUCCCAAUCGGUUCCAGUAAAAAUAAGAAUAAAAACCCUUGCAUUCCUUUUCAUGAAUUCCAGUGGAAAACAACUACGACUUUAAUUUAAUGUUGGAAAUACUGGUGUGAAUAUUUUUUUUAGUUUGCUCAGUUUUAGAUAUGGAAAAUAAUUAAGAGUUGUUUGGUCUUCUAUAGUAUUCUCUAUAUUUUGUUGAUGAGAAAGAAAUCAUAUUCUGCUUUGCCUUGAGUUUAUUUGUAACUAACAUCGGAUUUGGACUGUGGUAAUGGCGAAUGUUAUGCGACAAGUUAAAGUUUCUCUUUUUAUUUUCGGACUGUGGUAAUGACCAUUGUUACGUGACAAGUUGAAUUUUCUCUCUUUAGUCUCUCCAAUAGCUUGUUUUUUGGUGAUUUGAGAGAGAAUCACACUUGUGAGGAUGCGUGAUGUUAAAAUUGCAGAUCAUACUUGGAUAUACUAUAAGGAAUUGAAUUAACUGUUCUUUCACUCUUAAGUGAAGUACAAGUUAUAAGCAAUAUUAUGUACACUCAUCUCCUCAAUUAUAAACGUAUAGUUAAUGAAAUCUCAUCAAUUUUUUUCUUCUGUAUAAUCAACUAAGUACUUUCCAAUGAAAUCCAUUUUUCUUAAAUACUAUUUUUAUGAAUUUAUACAUUCCAAACACCUUAAGUAGGAUUUGAUUUAAUAAAAAAUGCCACAUCAUUCCUUGUUCAACACGAUUUUUAUUUACUCAGUGUCAUAAAAUAUAAAUGCUCUUGACUGUGGUAGACCUUAUUGCCCAUAAAAAAAAUAUAUAAUUAAUUAAAAUCAGGAGGUUUAGUUUAUUUCUUUCGGCAAUACAACUCUUCCAGGAUUUAGACCUUACUUUAAGCAUGCAGCAGAUUUUAGCAGCAUGUAUUAUAAUAUCUUUGAGACCUUUGAAUACAACUGCGGAGUAAUUAUGUACUGUUCCUGGAGUAUGUAUUUGCUAAUGAUUGAGCUAACUGCAAGUUUACGAGCUAUUUUAAGUUCCAUGAGGUCUAUUUUUGCACGGUCCCAAAAGCAUAUUAGAAUUUAGAAUUACCUCAUACAUAUUAGGUAGGAAUUUGAUACACUAGUGAAAGUUCCAUGAGGUCUACUUCUGCCCAAUUUGUUGAGCUCGUCAUUUUCUUAUCUUUACAUUACAUUUUGGCUCAUUUUACUCCAGGUGUUGAUUAUAUCAUUUGCUGCAUGAGGCCCUCUAAUAUGGCUCGUACAGGAAUUGUGACUACUACAAUGCCAUCAAUUACAAGGAAUAACUCUCUACUAUAUUGGAUAUGUGUGAUUGUGAGCUCAUUUCUUCAAUCACUAAACAUUUUUUUUUUAGUUAUUUGAAAUUGAUCUUGGGAUCACUGUUGCCUAAGGUGAUAGAAUUUGAGAUAUUCACGUCUUUGGUAAUGACUUUUAUUAGGUAGUGAUCUGGUGAAGAAUAUCAAAUACAAGCCGCCAAGAGAUUAUAGAGGAUGUAUGGUGCAUUUUAGAUAUUCACAAACAGAUGUAGUUUAGCUUGGCUUCAAUAAUGCUUCACUUUCAUUUUGUUUAUGAUGCUGAGCUCUGGAAAUGUUGUUUAUUUCACUGUUUCACAUGUAAUAGGAUUUUUUUUCUUAACUCUUUGUUAUUUAAGACAUUGUGGUUAGAUUUAGUGAUAUGAUCAUCAAUAUUUUAUUUAUGUUUCAGGAACUAUUACAUGUAAUCUAUUUCCAACGAGAAUCUCCAUGAUUCACUGUAUGAGUGCCAAGGCAUCCGCUCUGACUUAAUCUGUUGUAAUGCUUUAUGAGUGUUGCACUUUGUAGUCCGUCUGGUCUUGUUGUAACAUCUGAAUUUUAC
rnacentral:lncRNA from 1 species